CGGGAGGCAUGAGAGUGGCGCGACGGGUGCGCAACGCGUAUGCAACAACCCCCGACAGGCGGAUAGCCGGUGGAAACGCCGGAUAAUACGUCAUGGUUCCGUGGGAGGGCAUCCUCCUGUGGAUAAAGCUACGGCGGUCGGGGACGGGCAUGCGUCCCAUUAGAUGGUAGCCGGGGUGACGGCCCACCUAGUCCACGAUGGUAGGGGAUCUGAGAGGACGGUCCCCCACACUGGUACUGAGACACGGACCAGACUCCUGCGGGAGGCAGCAGUAAGGGAUAUUGGUCAAUGGGCGGAAGCCUGAACCAGCCAUGCCGCGUGAGGGAAUGAGGCCCUACGGGUCGUGAACCUCUUUUAUUCGGGGACAAGGACGCGGUCGGGAACCGUGUUUGAGGGUACCGAAGGAAUAAGCGUCGGCUAACUCCGUGCCAGCAGCAGC
rnacentral:rRNA from 1 species